CCUACCUGCCGGGCUGUUUGACGCGACAACCGAAUUGAACUACCUAAUGUUGGCCGAAAAUCAACUUGAUCACCUACCUGCUGGGCUGUUCAAAGCCACAACCAAAUUAGAAGUACUAAAUGUGUACGGUAAUCAACUUGUUCACCUACCUGCCGGCCUGUUCAAAGCCACAACCAAAUUACAAUACCUAGAUUUGUGGGAGAAUAAACUUGUUGACCUACCUGCCGGGCUGUUUGACGCGACAACCGAUUUGAGAUACC